rnacentral:rRNA from 1 species
GGACUACUAGGGUUUCUAAUCCUGUUUGCUCCCCACGCUCUCGCGCACUCAGCGUCAGUGUCGACCCAGAGAGCCGCUUUCGCCGCUGGUGUUCCUCCCGAUAUCUACGAAUUUCACCUCUACACCGGGAAUUCCACCCUCCUCUUUCGCACUCUAGCGUGACAGUUUCAAAUGCAAUUCCUGGGUUAAGCCCAGGGCUUUCACACCUGACUUAUCACACCGCCUACGCGCCCUUUACGCCCAAUGAUUCCGAACAACACUUGCACCCUCUGUAUUACCGCGGCUGCUGGCAC